UCCAGAGCUGAAGAAAAGAAAACAAAUACAGUAAAUAACUCUGCCUAAUGGAGCUUAAGAGUGGCCUCGCUCAUUUGCCGUGAAGAACAGAUCGGUCUGAAAUGACUUUGAAUGAGCACAAUGCUAGUGCUUCGCGGUGUGAGCAGCCUCCUGUUCUGCUGUGCUUGAGUAACCUUGUGAUGGUAUCAGUUUAAACCGUGUGCUAGGAAAAAAGGGGGAGAUGUGAGAUCAACGACCGUAGGUUUGGUGCAGAGGUUAAAUAUACGGGUUGCCCACAUUUGCCAGGAGAAACAAGCGGAAAGUCCUACACAAACAUCAUUGUCUGCUACUGAGGCACAAAGACUGAAGGGUAGUGCAUCAAAGACUCAUUCAAGGACAUGGAGUGUGACAGGGCUGGGCUCCUGGAGUUAUGAGAUCAAGGCUGAUGUCUUACAGAGCACCGCUCGGGGGAACAGAGCAUGGCCACGUAACAGAGACACGAGACAUCCACCCAGCGUGUAUGAAGUGAGGACAGCCCCGUAGUUCCUAAUGAGACUGAGGAGUGAUGGCACACAGCAACAAUGUGCUGACAGAACUGACCAACACUAAAGCUCCAGAGGUGGAUCAGCGCACUGACUGAUGUCAUCAACCCUCCAGCUUUUCAGAAUGAGCCUCUAUGUCCUGUAACUCACUGCAGUGGCCUUUCAUCUCCUGUAUUUCUUCACAGUUAGAAAAAGUCAACAUUCUUGUUUAUUGAAGUAAGCAGCUAUACACUGCAACCACUGAGCCAUUCUUAGAUGUUAUUACCUCCUGA